rnacentral:rRNA from 1 species
CCUACGGGAGGCAGCAGUGAGGAAUAUUGGUCAAUGGACGCAAGUCUGAACCAGCCAAGUCGCGUGCAGGAUGACGGCCCUAUGAGUUGUAAACUGCUUUUGUACGAGGGUAAACGCAGAUACGCGUACCUGUCUGAAAGUAUCGUAUGAAUAAGGAUCGGCUAACUCCGUGCCAGCAGCCGCGGUAAUACGGAGGAUCCGAGCGUUAUCCGGAUUUAUUGGGUUUAAAGGGAGCGUAGGUGGUUGGAUAAGUCAGUGGUGAAAGUGCGCGGCUCAACCUCAGAAUUGCCGCUGAUACUGGUCGGCUAGAGAGUAGUUGCGGUAGGCGGAAUGUAUGGUGUAGCGGUGAAAUGCUUAGAGAUCAUACAGAACACCGAUUGCGAAGGCAGCUUACCAAGCUGCUUCUGACAUUGAGGCACGAAAGCGUGGGGAGCAAACAGGAUUAGAUACCCGAGUAGUC